UCGACUCCAUGAAGCUGGAAUCGCUAGUAAUCGUAUAUCAGCAAUGAUACGGUGAAUACGUUCCCGGACCUUGCACACACCGCCCGUCAAGCCAUGGAAGCCGGGUGUACCUAAAGUCGUAACCGUAAGGAGCCGCCUAGGGUAAAACUGGUGACUGGGGCU
rnacentral:rRNA from 1 species